rnacentral:rRNA from 1 species
GACGAACGCUGGCGGCGUGCUUACCCAAGCAAGUUGGACGGAAAGGCCCCGCCUUUUUGGGGUGCCCGAGUGGCGAACCGGGGAGUAACCCGUGAGUAACCUGCCCUUGACUUUGGGAUAACUUCAGGAAACUGGGGCUAAUACCGGAUAGGAGCUCCCGCUGCAUGGUGGGGGUUGGAAAGUUUCGGCGGGUGGGGAUGGACUCGCGGCUUAUCAGCUUGUUGGUGGGGUAGUGGCUUACCAAGGCUUUGACGGGUAGCCGGCCUGAGAGGGUGACCGGCCACAUUGGGACUGAGAUACGGCCCAGACUCCUACGGGAGGCAGCAGUGGGGAAUAUUGCACAAUGGGCGGAAGCCUGAUGCAGCAACGCCGCGUGCGGGAUGACGGCCUUCGGGUUGUAAACCGCUUUCGCCUGUGACGAAGCGUGAGUGACGGUAAUGGGUAAAGAAGCACCGGCUAACUACGUG